rnacentral:rRNA from 1 species
UACGUAGGUGGCAAGCGUUGUCCGGAUUUACUGGGCGUAAAGAGCGCGCAGGCGGUCGUUCAAGUCGCGUGUGAAAGCCCCCGGCUCAACUGGGGAGGGUCACGCGAUACUGAUCGACUCGAAGGCAGGAGAGGGUAGUGGAAUUCCCGGUGUAGUGGUGAAAUGCGUAGAUAUCGGGAGGAACACCAGUGGCGAAGGCGGUUACCUGGGGCUUUGCUGACGCUGAUGCGCGAAAAGCGUGGGGGAGCGAUCCGG